UUCAUUACAGAGCCUAGAGAAAAUUCUUGUGGAAUUCGAUCACAAGGAGUUGUUUGAUUUCUAUAACAAGGUCUGUGUUUUAAAAAUAAUUUUCUGAUAUAUAAGGGUUUUCCUAAUUUUUCCUUCAUUUUUAUGAAUUAUUUAUUUUAAAUGUCUAUCACAGAGCUAACUUCUUUAAAUUUUCCUUCUGAACAUCUUAUGUUUCACAGUAGGAAGCAUAGGCAAGAUGAAGAGAAUCUGAAAAACUAAAUCAUGAAGAAAAUGAAAAUGGUUUUAAUUAAAGCAAUAGCAUUGUUGCUUUAAUGUAAAGCAUUAAGCAUUGCACAAUGUGAGACCCCUAGACACUGACAUUUUAAUAUAGACCAUGUGAAAUACUUUGUUUUCUUGGUCCAAGAGUAAAGGAAAACAUGGAAAGGAAGAUGCCAGGUCUGUGAUUUAUCUUUGAGUAUAUUUUAUGUUUCUUUGAAAGAACUGAUUUUGCAAUCCAGGAAAAUGCACUCCCCCUAUAUGCCCCAACUUAAAAAUCUUAUCAUGUAGUGAUAUUUAAAAUGAAACAGCUGGAGAUAUUUAAAACAGUAGUAUUUACAAGUCCCCCCCCCUUUUUUUUUUUUACAAAUUUGAAAACUUAAAUAGCAAGCAUAAAUUCUAAUAUGUUAAAAUAAAAAGAAAAAUAUUCUAAGUGCUAUUUUUAUUUCUAUGUGAAUGAGUUUGGUAUACAAAGUUGCUGGUGCCAUUCUUUCCCUUUUAUUUGCAUGUUUCUAAACAACACUUCAUAUGAAUUUCUCUUCCUUCACCAACUUUCUGUAUUUUUUUCUUUUUUCUUUGUAAAUAGCUAGAGACCAUACAAGCACAGCUGGAUUCUCUUACAUGAUGUUUGUGAAGACUGGUUUCUUCAUCACACUCCCACCACCUCAUUAUUUUGCAUUGAAGAAAGAUUGCCUGGAUGUAUUUUUUGGAGGAUUCAGUGACUUACUUUCUAUAAAUUAUACAGCUUAUCACUUCUUAGACAAAUAACAGCCAAAGGAGAUCACUGUUAGGAGUUCAGAGGUUCUAAUAUACUUUCUCUAGUUCUGUGAGCCAAUAGCAGUUGUUAAAAAACACUUUUACUUCAGAGAAAUCAAAAGUGAAUACCAUAUUAUUUUUACUGUCAUAUUGUUGCUUCACCUCUUUAUUUUUUACAUGCUUGAUUAUCUCUUUCUGUAUCAAGAAGAGACCAUAGAUAGAUAGUAUAAUGGGUACCCUAACAGAAUGUAGAUCUUUUUAUUACGUUAAUAAAAUUAAGAAACAACCACAUGCAAAGACAUUAUGUCAUUUUUCCUAUGAUGAAUGUAUUUUGAUUGAGAAAUAAUAUCAGAAAUAAAUUUAAAAUGGAGCUAGCAGUAUUAUGUGAGUUAAUUCCAAUGUGAGCUUCUCUGUCUGCUUCUGAGUUUAAUGAUUUAAUAAUAGUCCCAGGUUUGUGUGCUUUUCUUUGUACUGCAGAUUAAUAAUGAUUUAUUUCAUAGUGUGGGAGAUAGAUUUGGAUCAUGAAUAAAAACAAUUGUAAUGAGUACUAAAUGGGCAUUCUUAAAAUUUCAAAUCAGAUACAUUUUGUAUUCUCUUUCUAUGACUAUGUUAUUUGGUUUCAAUCAAUAAAAUUUUUAUGUUUUGAGAUUAUUUGAACUGGAGUGUACAGUAUUUUUAUUUUAUAGUAUAUUUGAUGACAC
rnacentral:lncRNA from 1 species